GUGAGCUGCAGUCUUCAGGAUAAUGAUUUAAAUAGAGAGAGUCACUUUGCAUUGUCACACAUGCUUCAGUGCUCUGAGAGUGUUUAUAGUGCUGUGAGUUUAACACUUCAUGACUGAGAGCAGAACAGAACACAAUCUUCAUCAUCACACAAGACAAAAGAACAACAAUGAACAAAAUCACCUUCUUCAUCUGGACUCUCACACUGUUUGCUCAAGAGUGUAGAGGACAGAUCACUGUAACUCAGAGUCCAUCAAUAACAGCAGUUCCACCAGGACAAGAAGUCAGAAUAAACUGUAAAACCAGCAGUGGAGUGUAUGAUGGUGAUCGUUUAGCCUUACAGAAACCUGGAGAGCCACAACUACCAAGAGAAAGAGCUUUAAUCCAGUCUUGAAGAUGAAAGCACUCGUCUCCAGGCCUUCCUCAUCUAUCCGGCGGCAAUUAAACUACAGCACAAAGGUGAGCAGAUGAUGUUCGACUCUCCUCAAAAGGCGGAAGAUUUUGUCAGUUCCUUCAGAGAAGAUAUACUCUGCAGCGGGAAGGCAAUGGCUUCCGUCUCCAUUCCUUCAGCUCAACGACGGGAUAAAGUUUAUGAUGAUCCUCACUGUCCUUACGAGAACAAUAACAAGGUGGCCAUGGACACUUGUUCAUUUCUUUUUGUAAUCUUGUCCUGUACGCUUGUCCACUGACUGGUAAAUAAUAACAAAUUAUUUUAUUUAUUUAUUUGUUUCGGGGGCAAAUGGAGAGCAGUUUCUGGCUCAGUGGCUCAGUGGGCCUGGGGACAUGUCUUGUGUUGAAGUGGACUGUGUUCUCUCUCUCUCUCUCACUCUCCCUGGUUGUUCCAUCUACGGCGCGAGGACAUGCCUACCGGGAGGGGGGAGUACUGUCACAGUCACCGUCUGUCUCACCUUCCCUGGACUCCAUUUCCCAGCAUCCCUCUGGUUCCUCACCUGCACUCACUCACCGAUCACCUGCACCUGCAAGCUAUCACCAUUGUUAACACUCAUCAGCACACCACUACAUAAGCCCCAUGUUCACUCCUGGUCUCGUCAAUGGACUCCUUACCUGUUACUCACCUGAGAUUCCCGUAUCGUCUUCCAUCCGUCUUUUGCUCUCUGUUCCCCGUUGAUCCUUCACCUACAGAGACAUUCUUUUAUUAAUCCACCAGCUAAGUGACUGUUCCAAAGUGCUUGUUCAUUGACUCACCUGCAUUCACUGUUUGCCAGUGUCCAUGCCUCUGUUUAAAUAAACACCUGUUUUGCACUUA